rnacentral:rRNA from 1 species
GAAAGAUGGCUUUGGCUAUCACUCUGGGAUGGGCCUGCGGUGCAUUAGCUAGUUGGUAAGGUAACGGCUUACCAAGGCGAUGAUGCAUAGCCGAGUUGAGAGACUGAUCGGCCACAAUGGAACUGAGACACGGUCCAUACUCCUACGGGAGGCAGCAGUAGGGAAUCUUCCACAAUGGGCGCAAGCCUGAUGGAGCAACACCGCGUGAGUGAAGAAGGGUUUCGGCUCGUAAAGCUCUGUUGUUGGAGAAGAACGUGCGUGAGAGUAACUGUUCACGCAGUGACGGUAUCCAACCAGAAAGUCACGGCUAACUACGUGCCAGCAGCCGCGGUAAUACGUAGGUGGCAAGCGUUAUCCGGAUUUAUUGGGCGUAAAGCGAGCGCAGGCGGUUGCUUAGGUCUGAUGUGAAAGCCUUCGGCUUAACCGAAGAAGUGCAUCGGAAACCGGGCGACUUGAGUGCAGAAGAGGACAGUGGAACUCCAUGUGUAGCGGUGGAAUGCGUAGAUAUAUGGAAGAACACCAGUGGCGAAGGCGGCUGUCUGGUCUGCAACUGACGCUGAGGCUCGAAAGCAUGGGUAGCGAACAGGAUUAGAUACCCUGGUAGUCCAUGCCGUAAACGAUGAGUGCUAGGUGUUGGAGGGUUUCCGCCCUUCA